CUUAGAUAUCACGNNNNACUCCGAUUGCGAAGGCAGUGCACCAAGCUGUAACUGACAUUGAUGCUCGAAAGUGUGGGUAUCAAACAGGAUUAGAUACCCUGGUAGUCCACACGGUAAACGAUGAAUACUCGCUGUUGGCGAUAUAUUGUCAGCGGCCAAGCGAAAGCAUUAAGUAUUCCACCUGGGGAGUACGCCGGCAACGGUGAAACUCAAAGGAAUUGACGGGGGCCCGCACAAGCGGAGGAACAUGUGGUUUAAUUCGAUGAUACGCGAGGAACCUUACCCGGGCUUGAACUGCGGAUGCAUUGGUUGGAAACAAUCAAGUGAGUAAUCACAUCCGUGGAGGUGCUGCAUGGUUGUCGUCAGCUCGUGCCGUGAGGUGUCGGCUUAAGUGCCAUAACGAGCGCAACCCUUGCCGGCAGUUGCCAUCAGGUAAUGCUGGGGACUCUGCCGGGACUGCCAUCGUAAGAUGCGAGGAAGGUGGGGAUGACGUCAAAUCAGCACGGCCCUUACGUCCGGGGCUACACACGUGUUACAAUGGGGGGUACAGAAGGCCGCUACCUGGCGACAGGAUGCCAAUCCCGAAAACCCCUCCCAGUUCGGACUGGAGCCUGCAACCCGGCUCCACGACGCUGGAUUCGCUAGUAAUCGCGCAUCAGCCAUGGCGCGGUGAAUACGUUCCCGGGCCUUGUACACACCGCCCGUCAAGCCAUGGGAGCCNNNNNNACCUGAAAUACGUAACCGCGAGGGUCGUCCUAGGGUAAAACCGGUGAGUGGGGCUAAGUCGUAACAAGGUAACC
rnacentral:rRNA from 1 species